CCUACGGGCGGCAGCAGUGAGGAAUAUUGGUCAAUGGCCGGAAGGCUGAACCAGCCAUGCCGCGUGAAGGUCAGUGCCCUAUGGGCGUUAAACUUCUUUUGUGCGGGAGCAAUAAUGGUCACGUGUGGCCAGACGAGAGUACCGUACGAAUAAGCAUCGGCUAACUCCGUGCCAGCAGCCGCGGUAAUACGGGGGAUGCAAGCGUUAUCCGGGUUUAUUGGGUUUAAAGGGUGCGUAGGCUGUGAGGUAAGGCAGCGGGGAAAUGCCCCCGCUCAACGGGGUGAAGUGCCAUUGAUACUGCCUUGCUGGAAUGCGGAUGCCGUGGGAGGAAUGUGUGGUGUAGCGGUGAAAUGCAUAGAUAUCACACAGAACACCGAUUGCGAAGGCAUCUCACGAAUCCGCGAUUGACGCUGAUGCACGAAAGCGUGGGUAUCAAACAGGAUUAGAUACCCUUGUAGUC
rnacentral:rRNA from 1 species